GGCAGUCCCUGUGGAUAUACUGCUGCAGCCACUUUUGAAUGAUCUUCAGCAAUAUUUUACUUGCAGGUUCAUUAGGCUUCCUCAAUGCUCAAAUGGCUUACUGCUUUUGGAUUUUGGGAUUUUCUUCCUGGUUUUCUCAACAGGCAAUAAGACAAGGCCAGCAGGAGCAUGUCUCUCUGACUUGUCAUCUAUUGUA